rnacentral:rRNA from 1 species
UGUGAGCUCGAUGAGUAGGGCGGGACACGUGGUAUCCUGUCUGAAUAUGGGGGGACCAUCCUCCAAGGCUAAAUACUCCUGACUGACCGAUAGUGAACCAGUACCGUGAGGGAAAGGCGAAAAGAACCCCGGCGAGGGGAGUGAAAAAGAACCUGAAACCGUGUACGUACAAGCAGUGGGAGCCUCUUUUAUGGGGUGACUGCGUACCUUUUGUAUAAUGGGUCAGCGACUUAUAUUCUGUAGCAAGGUUAACCGAAUAGGGGAGCCGAAGGGAAACCGAGUCUUAACUGGGCGUUAAGUUGCAGGGUAUAGACCCGAAACCCGGUGAUCUAGCCAUGGGCAGGUUGAAGGUUGGGUAACACUAACUGGAGGACCGAACCGACUAAUGUUGAAAAAUUAGCGGAUGACUUGUGGCUGGGGGUGAAAGGCCAAUCAAACCGGGAGAUAGCUGGUUCUCCCCGAAAGCUAUUUAGGUAGCGCCUCGUGAAUUCAUCUCCGGGGGUAGAGCACUGUUUCGGCAAGGGGGUCAUCCCGACUUACCAACCCGAUGCAAACUGCGAAUACCGGAGAAUGUUAUCACGGGAGACACACGGCGGGUGCUAACGUCCGUCGUGAAGAGGGAAACAACCCAGACCGCCAGCUAAGGUCCCAAAGUCAUGGUUAAGUGGGAAACGAUGUGGGAAGGCCCAGACAGCCAGGAUGUUGGCUUAGAAGCAGCCAUCAUUUAAAGAAAGCGUAAUAGCUCACUGGUCGAGUCGGCCUGCGCGGAAGAUGUAACGGGGCUAAACCAUGCACCGAAGCUGCGGCAGCGAC